rnacentral:rRNA from 1 species
GAUGAACGCUGGCGGCGUGCUUAAUACAUGCAAGUCGAACGGAAGGGCCAGGCUUUUGCGGGGCGCAUGAGAGGCGAACGGGUGAGUAAAACGCGAGUAACACGUACCUAACAGAGUGAGAACUCUAGGAAACAGGGGAUAAUAUAGGAGAGAAGCUUUUGCUGCAUGGUGGGGGUUGGAGAGUGCCGGCGGUUGGGGAUGGUCUGGCGGCUUAUCCGCUGGUUGGUGGGGUAGUGACUUACCAAGGUUUUGACGGGUAGCCGGCCUGGGAGGGUGACCGGCCACAUGGGGACUGAGGGACGGCCCAGACUCCUACGGGCGGCAGCAGUGGGAAAUAUGGCGGAGUGGGCGGAAGCCUGAUGCAGCAACGCCGCGUGCGGGAUGACGGCCUUCGGGUUGUAAACCUCUUUCGCCUGUGACGAAGCGUGAGUGACGGUAAUGGGUAAGGAAGCACCGGCUAACUACGUG